rnacentral:rRNA from 1 species
UACGGAGGGUGCAAGCGUUGUUCGGAUUUACUGGGCGUAAAGGACGCGUAGGCGGCUUGGUAAGUCGGGUGUGAAAUCCUUCCGCUUAACGGAAGGAGUGCACCCGAAACUGCCUUGCUCGAGUUUAGGAGAGGAGAGCGGACUUCCCGGUGUAGAGGUGAAAUUCGUAGAUAUCGGGAGGAACACCCGUGGCGAAAGCGGCUUUCUGGCAUAAUACUGACGCUGAGGCGCGAUAGCGUGGGGAGCAAACAGG